UACGAAGGGGGCGAGCGUUGUUCGGAGUUACUGGGCGUAAAGGGCGCGUAGGCGGCGAUCCAAGUUAGGCGUGAAAGCCCCGGGCUCAACCUGGGAAUAGCGCUUAAGACUGGGUUGCUCGAGUGCGGGAGAGGUGAGUGGAAUUCCCAGUGUAGAGGUGAAAUUCGUAGAUAUUGGGAAGAACACCAGUGGCGAAGGCGGCUCACUGGCCCGCAACUGACGCUGAGGCGCGAAAGCGUGGGGAGCAAACAGG
rnacentral:rRNA from 1 species